AAUCAAUAGGAGUCAUCCAAGGACUACUGGUUCCACUCAGAUUUAUGUAAGGAAAACAACACUGAAGAGGACCAAAGAUCACAAAGGGCAUGAAUUGCCCCAAGCCCAGACUGCCUCUGUCUUUCUUAACAAGGCAGAUGGCAGAAUGAUGGAAGUACUGAAAGUGGAUAGCUAACCUCUCCACAUGGUGACAUCUCCUAGGAAAAGGAAGAGAGAAAGAGCUGUCUCAUCACUGCUCAAUUUCAGACCAUCCAGGGAAUCUUCAGUGAUAGGGAUCAGCCAUAAAGCAAAAAAUGGAACUGCUCUACAUGAAAGAGACACUGGGAAGAUUUCUUCUCUGGAGACAUGUUCGUGCUGCUUGACAAGACCAAAGGAAUGAAAAAGAACAGACUAAAAGAGUAGAAAUCCCAUGUGUUUAUGACAUCUUCGACACGAGACAGUGAAGCAACAUAUUUCCCACGAUACAGCCUGGUUGUAUUUAUGAGGAUAGUACAAAGCUAUUCUGUAUUAAGGUCUGGACACAACCUGUACUGGAACUAUGAUCUGAAUUAUAGUGUAGAAGAG
ensembl:lncRNA